UACGUAGGGGGCAAGCGUUGUCCGGAUUUAUUGGGCGUAAAGAGCGUGUAGGCGCCAGGUAGGUCUGCUGUGAAAACUCGAGGCUCAACCUCGAGAUGUCGGCGGAAACCAUCUGGCUAGAGUCCGGAAGAGGAGAAUGGAAUUCCCGGUGUAGCGGUGAAAUGCGCAGAUAUCGGGAAGAACACCCGUGGCGAAGGCGGUUCUCUGGGACGGUACUGACGCUGAGACGCGAAAGCGUGGGGAGCGAACAGG
rnacentral:rRNA from 1 species